rnacentral:RNase_P_RNA from 4 species
CGAGCCGGGCGGACGGCCGCGUGGAGCCCCCAGGGGCUUCCCGAGGAACGUCCGGGCUCCACAGGGCAGGGUGGUGGCUAACGGCCACCCGGGGUGACCCGCGGGACAGUGCCACAGAAAGCAGACCGCCGGGGACCUCGGUCCCCGGUAAGGGUGAAACGGUGGUGUAAGAGACCACCAGCGCCUGGGGUGACUCAGGCGGCUAGGUAAACCCCACCCGGAGCAAGGUCAAGAGGAGCGCCGUGAAAAGCGCUCUGCGCGGACGUUCGAGGGCUGCCCGCCCGAGUCCGCGGGUAGACCGCACGAGGCCGGUGGCGACACCGGUCCUAGAUGGAUGGCCGUCGCCCCGGGGCCCGCGAGGACCCCGGGGAACAGAACCCGGCGUACAGCCCGACUCGUCUG